rnacentral:rRNA from 1 species
UACGUAGGGUGCAAGCGUUGUCCGGAAUUAUUGGGCGUAAAGAGCUCGUAGGCGGUCUGUCGCGUCGGCUGUGAAAUCCCGAGGCUCAACCUCGGGUCUGCAGUCGAUACGGGCAAACUAGAGUAUUGCAGGGGAGACUGGAAUUCCUGGUGUAGCGGUGAAAUGCGCAGAUAUCAGGAGGAACACCGAUGGCGAAGCAGCCCCCCUGGGUCAAGACUGACGCCUCAUGCACGAAAGCGUGGGGAGCAAACAGG